rnacentral:rRNA from 1 species
GAUGAACGCUGGCGGCGUGCCUAAUACAUGCAAGUCGAGCGAACGGACGAGAAGCUUGCUUCUCUGAUGUUAGCGGCGGACGGGUGAGUAACACGUGGAUAACCUACCUAUAAGACUGGGAUAACUUCGGGAAACCGGAGCUAAUACCGGAUGAUAUUUUGAACCGCAUGGUUCAAAAGUGAAAGACGGUCUUGCUGUCACUUAUAGAUGGAUCCGCGCUGCAUUAGCUAGUUGGUAAGGUAACGGCUUACCAAGGCAACGAUGCAUAGCCGACCUGAGAGGGUGAUCGGCCACACUGGAACUGAGACACGGUCCAGACUCCUACGGGAGGCAGCAGUAGGGAAUCUUCCGCAAUGGGCGAAAGCCUGACGGAGCAACGCCGCGUGAGUGAUGAAGGUCUUCGGAUCGUAAAGCUCUGUUAUUAGGGAAGAACAUAUGUGUAAGUAACUGUGCACACCUUGACGGUACCUAAUCAGAAAGCCACGGCUAACUACGUG